CCUACGGGUGGCAGCAGUGGGGGAUAUUGCACAAUGGGGGGAACCCUGAUGCAGCGACGCCGCGUGGGUGAAGGAGUGCUUCGGCAUGUAAAGCCCUAUCGGCAGGGAAGAAGCAAGACGGUACCUGACUAAGAAGCCCCGGCUAACUACGUGCCAGCAGCCGCGGUAAUACGUAGGGGGCGAGCGUUAUCCGGAUUCACUGGGUGUAAAGGGAGCGUAGACGGCCAUGCAAGCCAGGGGUGAAAGCCCGGGGCCCAACCCCGGGCCUGCCCUUGGAACUGUGCGGCUAGAGUGCGGGAGGGGCAGGCGGAAUUCCUGGUGUAGCGGGGAAAUGCGGAGAUAGCAGGAGGAACACCGGCGGCGAAGGCGGCCUGCUGGACCGCGACUGACGUUGAGGCUCGAAAGCGUGGGGAGCGAACAGGAUUAGAUACCCGGGUAGUC
rnacentral:rRNA from 1 species